rnacentral:rRNA from 1 species
AUGGCUUCUUCAAGCAUCGAUCCUCGAAUCCAUGAGGACGGUGAUGAAUCUCAGGGACCAAAAGAUGUGCAAGAAAAUGUUGCAACAAAUUGUACUGACAACAGGUUACCAAAGAUUGACAUGACAUUUUUAUCGGAAGAGGAGGCCUACUCAUUUUAUAACAAAUAUGCAAAAGCUACUGGUUUUAGCAUCCGAAGAGGGAGUCACCAUAAAGUGAAGAAUACUACUGUAAUACAACAACGGACAUUUACGUGCUCUUGUCAAGGAUUCCGUGCUGAAGAUAGCAGAGAGGAUUCUUUCAGUUACAGUAGGCCCGAAACACGAUGUGGUUGUCAAGCCCAUAUGAAGAUAAGUCUCAAAAAUGGAUUAUAUUAUGUGUACGAAUUUGAGGCAGCACAUAACUAUCCUCUUGCUACUGGAGACAUGGCCCUAUACUUAAGAUCCCAAAGGAAAGUCACAGAAGCACAAAUAGCAAACGCUGAAGUCGCAAAGUCUGUGGGCAUUUCAAAUAAAGCAACUAUAGAUCUUAUGGCCAAAGAAGCAUGUGGACUUCCAAAUCUUGGGUUUGCACCCGAAGAUAUGAAAAAUCGUUUGUACUCUAAGAGAACACUGCAAGCAAAGAAAGGAGACACAGGGGGGUGUUAG